GGAUUGUGGCUCAGCAGUAGAGCGCUCACCUAACACGCACAAGGCCCUGGGUUCGAUCCUCAGCACCA
rnacentral:tRNA from 1 species